rnacentral:rRNA from 1 species
UAACACGUGGGGAACCUGCCCCAUAGUCUGGGAUACCACUUGGAAACAGGUGCUAAUACCGGAUAAGAAAGCAGAUCGCAUGAUCAGCUUUUAAAAGGCGGCGUAAGCUGUCGCUAUGGGAUGGCCCCGCGGUGCAUUAGCUAGUUGGUAAGGUAAAGGCUUACCAAGGCGAUGAUGCAUAGCCGAGUUGAGAGACUGAUCGGCCACAUUGGGACUGGGACACGGCCCAAACUCCUACGGGAGGCAGCAGUA